rnacentral:rRNA from 1 species
AUGAUUGUGGCCGCUGCGGAUAAGAACAACGUCAGGCUUCACCCGUGUCUUAUGAGACGAUUCCGCCGCUUCAUGGCCGACAUGGAGCUACGUGAUCUAUACUUGCAUGGCAGGCGCUACACAUGGUCGAACGAGCGCGAGAACCCAACCCUAGUCCGCAUAGACAGGGUGCUCUGCACUAACACCUGGGAAUCUGCCCACCCAACCUGCUUACUAUGA